rnacentral:rRNA from 1 species
AUUGAACGCUGGCGGCAGGCUUAACACAUGCAAGUCGAGCGGAGAUGAGGUGCUUGCACCUUAUCUUAGCGGCGGACGGGUGAGUAAUGCUUAGGAAUCUGCCUAUUAGUGGGGGACAACAUUCCGAAAGGAAUGCUAAUACCGCAUACGUCCUACGGGAGAAAGCAGGGGAUCUUCGGACCUUGCGCUAAUAGAUGAGCCUAAGUCGGAUUAGCUAGUUGGUGGGGUAAAGGCCUACCAAGGCGACGAUCUGUAGCGGGUCUGAGAGGAUGAUCCGCCACACUGGGACGGAGAAACGGCCCAGACUCCUACGGGAGGCAUCAGUGGGGAAUAUUGGACAAUGGGGGGAACCCUGAUCCAGCCAUGCCGCGUGUGUGAAGAAGGCCUUAUGGUUGUAAAGCACUUUAAGCGAGGAGGAGGCUACUGAGACUAAUACUCUUGGAUAGUGGACGUUACUCGCAGAAUAAGCACCGGCUAACUCUGUGCCAGCCGCCGCAGUAACAC